rnacentral:rRNA from 1 species
UACGUAGGGUGCGAGCGUUGUCCGGAAUCAUUGGGCGUAAAGAGCGUGUAGGCGGCCCGGUAAGUCCGCUGUGAAAGUCGGGGGCUCAACCCUCGAAUGCCGAUGGAUACUGCAGGGCUAGAGUCCGGAAGAGGCGAGUGGAAUUCCUGGUGUAGCGGUGGAAUGCGCAGAUAUCAGGAGGAACACCAAUAGCGAAGGCAGCUCGCUGGGACGGUACUGACGCUAAGGCGCGAAAGCGUGGGGAGCGAACAGG